ACCCGCUGAAUUUAAGCAUAUAAGUAAGCGGAGGACAAGAAACUAAAUAGGAUUCCCUCAGUAAUGGCGAAUGAACAGGGAAGAGCUCAGCAUGGAAAUCGGGGCCUUCCGGCCUUGAAUUGUAGUCUUGAGAUGUACUGCCAACGGAGGCGCAGAUGUAAGCCUCUUGGAAAAGAGCAUCAACGAGGGUGAGAGUCCCGUUUGUCAUCUGCAGUCCCCCGUGCACGGUGUGCAUUCUAAGAGUCACGUUCCUCGGGAUUGGAGCGCAAAGUGGGUGGUAAAUUUCAUCUAAAGCUAAAUAUUGGUUCGAGACCGAUAGCAAACAAGUACCAUGAGGGAAAGGUGAAAAGGACUUUGAAAAGAGAGUUAAAAGUGCCUGAAAUUGCUGAAAGGGAAGCGAAUGGAACCAGUGUUCUUGAUGAGAUUGUUGCGUACUCUGGUGAUUGCUUGCUGUUCUACCGCAAGGGGGGCAGUGGGUUUUGAUCUAGACGUGCGUGGUGUUUCUUGUCUUGUGUGUCACCGUCGAUGCACAGGUGAGUAAAACUCUAGGGACAUGGUAGCUCGCCCGCGGGUGUGUGAAUAUCCUUGGCAGUACUCAUUUGUGUAUCGAUCCCUGCGUGUCUGGUUGCAGUGUUUUGUUCGCUUGGGAGCUUCUGAAGGGAUUCGUUCUUUUAGAAGUCUUUUAGGCGCGCGGAGCAUCUCCCUGACACAAAGACGAUGACUAAAUGGUUCUAUUCGACCCGUCUUGAAACACGGACCAAGG
rnacentral:rRNA from 1 species